GUUUUCAUUCCCUGUAGUCCCAGCUACUCGGGAGGCUGAGGUGGGAGGAUCGCUUGAGUCUAGGAGUUCUGGGCUGUAGUGCGCUAUGCCGAUCGGGUGUCCGCACUAAGUUUGGCAUCAAUAUGGUGACCUCCCGGGAGCGGGGGUCCACCAGGUUGCCUAAGGAGGGGUGAACCGGCCCAGGUCGUCUAUAAUUUUUAUUGUUGUUGCUUUCCAUCUUUAAACUUUUUACUUUAGACUAAUUAUAGAGUCACAA
rnacentral:sRNA from 1 species